GGAGAGGUGGCCGAGUGGUCGAAGGCGCACGCCUGGAAAGUGUGUAUCCGCCAAAAGCGGAUCGUGGGUUCGAAUCCCACUCUCUCCGCCA
rnacentral:tRNA from 1 species